rnacentral:rRNA from 1 species
UACGUAGGGUGCAGGCGUUAAUCGGAAUUACUGGGCGUAAAGCGUGCGCAGGCGGUUUCUUAAGUCAGAUGUGAAAGCCCCGGGCUUAACCUGGGAACUGCGUUUGUGACUGCAAGACUAGAGUGCGGCAGAGGGGGGUAGAAUUCCACGUGUAGCAGUGAAAUGCGUAGAUAUGUGGAGGAAUACCGAUGGCGAAGGCAGCCCCCUGGGUCGACACUGACGCUCAUGCACGAAAGCGUGGGGAGCAAACAGG